ensembl:lncRNA
CUGUUACCUCCCUAGUCUCAAUCCAUAGCUGUUCCUCUCCCUCCCCUUUUCUGAGCCUCAGUUUUCUCACUUGCAACUCAGGAUAUAACAGAGAAACUGCCAUUGGUUAAGCAUUUAGUAUGUUAAGGCAUGUGCUAAGCCCUCUACCCCCAUCACCUGCUUUUCUGCUCCCAGCCCCUCCCUGAUACAGGGAUUACUCAGAGCUGAUGCACCUAGAGGUCUGGGCUCCAUGUCUGCACAUGGUAGAAGCCCAGCUAAUGUCUUUAUUUUCCUGACUCUGCUUUCAGGAGCCACCGCAACAGAACAGGAGGAGAAAGUACAUCCCAUAACCAGGAGUUAAGCCACCUUCCUCUGGGGCCAGUGAACACAUGCAAGGUGAGGAGAGGUCCUAGGAAGUCAGAGGGAGGAGAGGAGCUCAAGUCUUCCAGAUGUUUCAUUGUGGAGCAUCAACUUGUCCCUCCUGCAGAUAUGGAUGACCCCUCAUGGUCGGUGAUCAAGGCCCAAGAUAUUGUUUAUUCCAUGGACAUAUAACAUGAGUGAAAAAUGUCUUUGUCACUGCAAAUUAAGAUGGCAG